rnacentral:tRNA from 1 species
AGGGAGAUAAACCCAACCUUGGUAAGGGUGAGGUCGGUGGUUCAAUCCCACUCGGCAGCACCA